rnacentral:misc_RNA from 1 species
GUGGGAGGGGGCUUGCUCCCGAUGGCGGUGCGUCAGUCAAUUUUUUCAUACCUGACCCACCACUGUCGGGAGCAAGCCCCCUGCCAC